rnacentral:lncRNA from 1 species
CUCAAUACGUAUUUAUCGAGAAUCUAUUAUGUAAAAUGCAAUGUUCACAGCAUCUUCACCGGGAGAAGAUUCUAUCUUAAGGAAACUCUUUUCUCAUGCAUAAGAAGCACCUCCUUACCUGUUAAAAGUUUAAUCAUGAGAUUGCAGGAAUUCAGUCACAUCUUCAGGCUCCACUUCUAAUUCUAGUUCUCUUGGUAUUCCACCGCACCUGCAGUGACUUCCUCCACCGAAGUCUUGAACCUCUCAAAGUCAUCCAUGAGGGUUGGAAUCAACUUCUUCCAAAGUCCUGUUAAUGUUUGUAGUGUUAUGAAAUAUAUAUACAUAUAGGUUUUCAUACACAGGAAACAGAAUCUCUUUGACCUUCUCUUGCCUUCCUUUUACCUGCCUUCCUUUCACCUACCCCAAAGCAGGACUCUAAUCUUCUGCUUUUAUAAUUGUGGAUCAUAAGACUCAUUUCAGAGAGGGUCCCAACCCAUGGCCUGGGGGAAGGAAUGCUGAUAUAAUGAAGCUUCCAUAAAAAUCCAAGAGGACAGCUUCCUGAUAGCUGAACAAGUGGAGGUUUCUGGGGAAUGGCUACCUGGGGAGGGCAUGGGAGCUCCGUGUCCCUUCCUCCAUACCUCUCCCUGUGCAUCUCUUCAUCUGGAUCCUUCGUGAUAUCCUUUAUAAUAAACUGGUAAAUAUAA